AUUAUGUCAACAUCCUAAGCAUGUACGUGGACGAAUCCCGGCCAUAAGGCAUGCUGCGUUCCUCAGUCCCAAUCAAUGUAUAUGACGCGAGGCUAUAAGUUCACCCGAGAGUGCUACCUUCCCCGUGCCUUUAUCCAUCGAUCAAAACUGAUGUUGACCCCACUCAAGGGAGGUAAGUCCCAAGAGCAUGACUGACUUCAAUCGUUUCCCUUUCAACAAUUUCACGUACUGUUUAACUCUCUUUCCAAAGUGCUUUUCAUCUUUCCCUCACGGUACUUGUUCGCUAUCGGUCUCUCGCCAAUAUUUAGCUUUAGAUGGAAUUCACCACCCAUUUUGAGCUGCAUUCCCAAACAACUCGACUCGUUGAAAGUGUAUCACAAAGCACCGGGGGUCCAUGUCAAGGACGGGAUUCUCACCCUCUAUGACGCCCUGUUCCAAGGGACUUGUACAUGGGCCGGCACGGAAAACACUUCUCUAGAUUACAACUCGGGCAACCGAAGGCUACCAGAUUUCAAAUUUGAGCUCUUCCCGCUUCACUCGCCGUUACUAGGGGAAUCCUUGUUAGUUUCUUUUCCUCCGCUUAUUGAU
rnacentral:rRNA from 1 species